UGGGUUCGAACCCCAACACCACAGGAGAGAUUCAUGGAUAGUUGAACAGUGCUGUGGUGUGUCU
rnacentral:miRNA from 1 species